GAUGGAGGCAGAUCCAGAAAAAGCGGCCCUAUGUCUUGAAGAGAGCAAAUUAUUUAGAGAGGGCAGCUACAGUUUUGGCCAACGAGCGGCUGUCGUCAGCAAACACAAUAUGAAUCCAGCUGAAUGGUGGGUGCAUUUUGGCGGAUCCGCGAGAAAUCUAAAGCGGAUAGCUAUUCGGAUCCUCUCCCAAACAGUCUCCUCUAGUGGAUGUGAGCGCAAUUAGUCCACCUUCGCCCUUAUCCACAGCAAACAAAGAAACCGUUUGACGCGAAAGCGCCUCAACGACCUUGUUUAUGUGCAUUACAAUUUGCGGUUGAGGCUAAAGUGCAUCCAGGAGGAAGUGGAGCUCAAGUAUACAGAUCCGAUUUACGGGUCCUUCACCGCUGAUGACGAUGAUCCACUACUCGGCUGGCUUGUAGGCCAGCAGCAGGAGCCCGAGCUUGACGAGCCAGGAUCGCCUCCACGACCAGCUACCUUCAUAGCCACCGAAGCUGGGGUCGAUCCAGAGCAAUGGGCUGAGCGCAAUAUUCCACGCACUCCCAGAGCUGAUCAGCCGC